CAGAACCGCGAUGUCCCACCAUAACUUUGGAUAACGGAAAAGUGACUUACUCCGGAAAUAGGGAAGUAUAUACCUUGGCAUUUUUUAGCUGCAGCGACAAUUUUGACUUAAGUUCUGUAACAAAUACAGAAUGCGAAAAGAACCAGGAAUGGGUAGAAAUACCGAAGUGUAUACCUCGUUUGAAGCCAUGGGUACCUGCCAAUGGAUUCACAGAAACAAAAGCUUCGGCUUUGAUCAAGAAUGGAGAAAGCUAUAACGCAUACUGUAAUAACGGGUUCUUGCUGGCGAACACUGCGACGGGAAAAUUCUUACUUGGUGAUGUCAGAACACUUAGAGUAAAGAAUGAG